UACGUAGGGUGCGAGCGUUAAUCGGAAUUACUGGGCGUAAAGCGUGCGCAGGCGGUUUUGUAAGCCAGAUGUGAAAGCCCCGGGCUUAACCUGGGAAUGGCAUUUGGGACUGCAAGGCUGGAGUGUGGCAGAGGAGACUGGAAUUCCUGGUGUAGCAGUGAAAUGCGUAGAUAUCUGGAGGAAUACCGGUGGCGAAGGCGGCAUCCUGGACCGACAUUGACGCUGAACGGCGAAAGCUAGGGGAGCAAACGGG
rnacentral:rRNA from 1 species